UUGCCGAUCUAAGUAGUAGUGCCGCAGGUACUGAUUUUUAAGUGAUACCUGUACACGGCUACUUACAUUGGCAA
rfam:Strongylocentrotus purpuratus Contig13545_fixed, whole genome shotgun sequence.